GACGAACGCUGGCGGCGUGCUUAACACAUGCAAGUCGAACGGAAAGGCCCUGCUUUUGUGGGGUGCUCGAGUGGCGAACGGGUGAGUAACACGUGAGUAACCUGCCCUUGACUUUGGGAUAACUUCAGGAAACUGGUGCUAAUACCGGAUAGGAGCUCCUGCUGCAUGGUGGGGGUUGGAAAGUUUCGGCGGUUGGGGAUGGACUCGCGGCUUAUCAGCUUGUUGGUGGGGUAGUGGCUUACCAAGGCUUUGACGGGUAGCCGGCCUGAGAGGGUGACCGGCCACAUUGGGACUGAGAUACGGCCCAGAGUCCUACGGGAGGCAGUAGUGGGGAAUAUUGCACAAUGGGCGGAAGCCUGAGGCAGAAACGCCGCGUGCGGGAUGACGGCCUUCGGGUUGUAAACCGCUGUAGCCUGUGACGAAGCGUGAGUGACGGUAAUGGGUAAAGAAGCACCGGCUAACUACGUG
rnacentral:rRNA from 1 species